CGCCUGUUUAUCAAAAACAUCUCUUCUCGUUAGUUUUUGAAGUAUGGCCUGCCCACUGACCUUGAAUGUUGAAGGGCCGCGGUAUUUUGACCGUGCAAAGGUAGCAUAGUCAUUAGUUCUUUAAUUGUGAUCUGGUAUGAAUGGCUUGACGAGGCAUAAGCUGUCUUAAUUUUGAAUUGUUUAUUGAAUUUGUUCUUUGAGUUAAAAUUCUUAGAUGUUUUUAUGGGACGAGAAGACCCUAUAGAGUUUGACAUUUAUUAUGGUCUUUUUCUGUUUGUGAGGGUUCACUAGGGCUGUUUAAUAUGUUUUGUUGGGGUGAUGGGAGGGAUAUUAUUUAACCCCUCCUUUGUGUUGUUAUAUUUAUUUAUAUUUGCUUGAUCCAUUUAUUUUGAUUGUAAGAUUAAAUUACCUUAGGGAUAACAGCGUAA
rnacentral:rRNA from 1 species